rnacentral:rRNA from 1 species
UAGUAGCGUAUAUUAAAGUUGUUGCAGUUAAAGGAUGCGUAGUCUUUUUUUGAAUACGACUGGGGGAUGUGAGCGAAAGUGAAUGUAACUUUGUAGUAUUAGCGAGGCCUUCUGUGCGAAUGGAGGGCUUCAUGUUACCUCGAAUAAAACAAAGCGCUUCAAGCGGGCAAUUGAUGCUUAUAUGAUUCAGCUUGGAAUAACUAAAGAUGACUAGUUGUUGGUUUUGUGCUCAUGGCUGACGACUGGUAAUGAUUGAUAAAGGUAAGUUUGGACAUUAGUACUGGAUGGUGAGCGGUGAAAUUCUUAGACCCAUUCAAGACUACCAAAAGCGAAAGCAUUUGUCAGGGAUUACACUUGUUGAUCAAGCAUUUUAGUCAAGGGAUCGAAGACGAUUAGAUACCAU